ACUAUACAAAAAUCCUAAAAUAAACUAAACAAAACAUUUGACAGACUAAGUAGAUGUGAUCGAACAGUAUAAAACUAACCGAGUACCGUAAGGGAAUAACUUUAAGCAAAAAACAGCAAAGAUUAACCCUUGUACCUUUUGCAUCAUGGUUUAGCCAGAAACACAGGACAAGAAGAAUCAUAGCCCACACCCCGAAACCAGAUGAGCUACUAUAAAGCAGCCUAAUGGGCACACCCUUCUCUGUGGCAAAAGAGUGGGAAGACUUAAGAGUAGAAGUGAAACGCUUAACGAAUCUGGAGAUAGCUGGCUACCAAAAAAAGAAUGUAAGUUCUACCCUAUACCAAAAUAAUAAGUACUUAUACUAUAGGGGUACUCAAUAGGGGUACAGCUCUAUUGAAACAGGAUACAACCUGAAUUUGAGAGGAAAUAAACCAACACUCACAAGUAGGCCUUCAAGCAGCCACCUUAAAAAAUAUCGUUACAGAAUUACACAAAAAAUCCACACAUUAACCAAAAACUCCAAAAAAACUAAAGGUAGACCAAUAAUCAUUGGUUUUAUUAUGCUAAAACUAAUAAUAAGAUAACAUCUCUACCACGCACCUGUCCACUAGACCGGAUAAACCACUAGAUAUUAACAGACCACAAGAGGCAUAAACCAACCAAUAUAUAUCUUAAAACAAACUGUGACCCCAACACAGGCGCGUUAAAAAGAAAGAUUGACCACUAUAAAAGGAACUCGGCAAACACAGACCCCAACUGUUUAACAAAAACAUAACCUUUAGCCAAACAAAUAUUAAAGGCAACGCCUGCCCAGUGAAUAAUUAAACGGCCGCGGUACCCUAACCGUGCAAAGGUAGCAUAAUCAUUUGUCUACUAAUUAUAGACCUGUAUGAAAGGCAAAAUGAGGGUCCAACUGUCUCUUAUAGUAAAUCUAUUAAACUGAUCUUCUAGUAAAAAAGCUAGAAUUAAACCAUAAGACCAGAAGACCCUGUGAAGCUUAAAUUAAACUAUUAAACCAAAUAAUAACUAAUUUUGGUUGGGGCGACCUUGGAAAAAAUAAGAACUUCCAAACAACAUGACACAGUCAUAAACCUAGGCCAACAAGCCAAAUUACGACCCAGCACAGCUGAUAAUUGAAACAAGUUACUCCAGGGAUAACAGCGCAAUCUUCUUCAAGAGCCCAUAUCAAAAAGAAGGUUUACGACCUCGAUGUUGGAUCAGGACAUCCUAAUGGUGCAGAAGCUAUUAAGGGUUCGUUUGUUCAACGAUUAAC
rnacentral:rRNA from 1 species